CCGGCACAGGCCAGCAUCGGUUCUCGUGGGGGAUAAGACCGUCAGGAACGUAGCACCCUCCGGGGUGUGUUAUAGCCUGGCGGACGAUACCCCCGUGGGGACCGAGGUCCGCGCUCCGCAAGGAUGCUGGCGUAAUGGUCAUCAGUGACCCGUCUUGAAACACGGACCAAGGAGUCGUCCAUUAGAGCGAGCGUUUGGGUGUAAAACCCGCACGCGUAAUGAAAGUGAACGCAGGUGAGAGCUUCGGCGCAUCAUCGACCGAUCCUGAUGUUCUCGGAAGGAUUUGAGUAAGAGUUUUAACGGACGGACCCGAAAGACAGUGAACUAUGCUUGUAUAGGGUGAAGCCAGAGGAAACUCUGGUGGAGGCUCGCAGCGGUUCUGACGUGCAAAUCGAUCGUCAAAUAUGAGCAUGGGGGCGAAAGACUAAUCGAACUGUCUAGUAGCUGGUUACCGCCGAAGUUUCCCUCAGGAUAGCAGUGUUGAUCUUCAGUUUUAUGAGGUAAAGCGAAUGAUUAGGGACUCGGGGGCUAUAUAUUGCCUUCAUCCAUUCUCAAACUUUAAAUAUGUAAGAAGCCCUUGUUACUUAGUUGAACGUGGGCAUUCGAAUGUACCAACACUAGUGGGCCAUUUUUGGUAAGCAGAACUGGCGAUGCGGGAUGAACCGAACGCGGGGUUAAGGCGCCAGAGUGUACGCUCAUCAGACACCACAAAAGGCGUUAGUACAUCUUGACAGCAGGACGGUGGCCAUGGAAGUCGGAAUCCGCUAAGGACUGUGUAACAACUCACCUGCCGAAUGUACUAGCCCUGAAAAUGGAUGGCGCUCAAGCGUACCGCCCAUACCCCGCCCCCAGGGUAGAAACGAUGCCCUGGGGAGUAGGCGGCCGUGGGGGUCAGUGACGAAGCCUAGGGCGGA
rnacentral:rRNA from 1 species